GCCUGGGUGGCUCAGUCGGUAGAGUGAGUGACUCUUAAUCUCAGGGUCAUGAGUUCAAGCCUCAUGUUGCGCG
rnacentral:tRNA from 1 species